CAGCAGCCACGGGAAUACGGAGGGUGCAAGCGUUAUCCGGAUUUAUUGGGUUUAAAGGGUCCGUAGGCGGACUUAUAAGUCAGUGGUGAAAGCCUGUCGCUUAACGAUAGAACUGCCAUUGAUACUGUAAGUCUUGAGUAUAUUUGAGGUAGCUGGAAUAAGUAGUGUAGCGGUGAAAUGCAUAGAUAUUACUUAGAACACCAAUUGCGAAGGCAGGUUACCAAGAUAUAACUGACGCUGAGGGACGAAAGCGUGGGUAGCGAACAGGAUUAGAUACCCGUGUAGUCCCUGUCUCUUAUAC
rnacentral:rRNA from 1 species